CCUAAUCUAGACUUUAAUGCUUAAUCAAAUUAAGCUAAUUAGUAAUCUAAUCACUAAUUAAUCUUCCAUUAAUGAUAGAGUUUAAGUCUAGUGGGACUCUUCUCUAGAGUCCCUGUCCAGUGGGACUCUUCGCCAGAGUCUCCUUUGACUGGGACUCUCCAGAUUAGCCAAGUGAUCGAAGAAGAACUUCUAAUGUGUAUGAUCCCAUAGGUUGAAACCUAAGUCGGUAGCACAAGAAUCGAUUCUUAUACCAAUUGAAGUAACCAUUUAGCAAUGGUACCCGAUAUCUGGAUAGGUCGAAAGUAUGCUAAGCAACACUCGAGAACCUAUUUGAAUAUAGUUACCGUAUAAUUCAUCCCUUUGAUCCAAAUGCUCAAGGUAACCUAGGAUUUAACUGCCAACCUUGAUAUGGUCAUCACAUUGUAUUUCAAUAUUCAAAAUCCAUCACAUGGAUUAUCCUGAUCAAAGUUUUACUGAAUUGAAACACACUGAUACAUUAACUCCUACUUAUUCGGAGGGGUCAAUUCCAUCUUGACUCACACACCAACUUCACAAGUACUUGACUAUACCCAAAAAUCUUUCAUAGCUAAAUUAGAAAUUCAGAUAGUCUGACACCGAAGCUUAAUGAGUUACUUGCAAGUCACCGUGGUGAUCUCAAGUCGAAGGGACACUUAUACCUAUACCCUUUGGAGUGACUUUUGACAACAGAGCGCUCCGGAGUUGGUCACGUUCAGUGAAAUAUACUCCUAUAUUUCAUCUGCAUGUCAUAUCAGUAUUUUCACGCUCCUUGAUUAAGAGGACAACCAACCU
rnacentral:lncRNA from 1 species